UUUAUGGAGAGUUUGAUCCUGGCUCAGGAUGAACGCUGGCGGCGUGCCUAAUACAUGCAAGUCGAGCGAACGGACGAGAAGCUUGCUUCUCUGAUGUUAGCGGCGGACGGGUGAGUAACACGUGGAUAACCUACCUAUAAGACUGGGAUAACUUCGGGAAACCGGAGCUAAUACCGGAUAAUAUUUUGAACCGCAUGGUUCAAAAGUGAAAGACGGUCUUGCUGUCACUUAUA
rnacentral:rRNA from 1 species